AUUGAACGCUGGCGGCAUGCCUUACACAUGCAAGUCGAACGGCAGCACGGGUGCUUGCACCUGGUGGCGAGUGACGAACGGGUGAGUAAUACAUCGGAACAUGUCCUGUAGUGGGGGAUAGCCCGGCGAAAGCCGGAUUAAUACCGCAUACGAUCUACGGAUGGAAGCGGGGGACCUUCGGGCCUCGCGCUAUAGGGUUGGCCGAUGGCUGAUUAGCUAGUUGGUGGGGUAAAGGCCUACCAAGGCGACGAUCAGUAGCUGGUCUGAGAGGACGACCAGCCACACUGGGACUGAGACACGGCCCAGACUCCUACGGGAGGCAGCAGUGGGGAAUUUUGGACAAUGGGCGAAAGCCUGAUCCAGCAAUGCCGCGUGUGUGAAGAAGGCCUUCGGGUUGUAAAGCACUUUUGUCCGGAAAGAAAUCCUUGGCUCUAAUACAGUCGGGGGAUGACGGUACCGGAAGAAUAAGCACCGGCUAACUACGUGCCAGCCGCCGCAGUAA
rnacentral:rRNA from 1 species